rnacentral:rRNA from 1 species
UACGUAGGGUGCAGGCGUUAAUCGGAAUUACUGGGCGUAAAGCGUGCGCAGGCGGUCUUUUUAAGUCAGAUGUGAAAUCCCCCGGGCUUAACCUGGGAACUGCGUUUGAAACUGGAAGGCUAGAGUGUGGCAGAGGGGGGGUGGAAUUCCACGUGUAGCAGUGAAAUGCGUAGAGAUGUGGAGGAACACCGAUGGCGAAGGCAGCCCCCUGGGCUAACACUGACGCCUCAUGCACGAAAGCGUGGGGAGUAAACAGG